GCUGGCGUAGCUCAAUUGGCAGAGCAGCUGAUUUGUAAUCAGCAGGUUGGGGGUUCGAUUCCCUUCGCCAGCUCCA
rnacentral:tRNA from 1 species